rnacentral:rRNA from 1 species
GACGAACGCUGGCGGCGUGCUUAACACAUGCAAGUCGAGCGGUAAGGCCCUUUCGGGGGUACACGAGCGGCGAACGGGUGAGUAACACGUGGGUGACCUGCCCUUAGCUCUGGGAUAAGCCUGGGAAACUGGGUCUAAUACCGGAUAUGACUCCAUGACGCAUGUUGUGGGGUGGAAAGCCUUGUGCGGCUAGGGAUGGGCCCGCGGCCUAUCAGCUUGUUGGUGGGGUGAUGGCCUACCAAGGCGACGACGGGUAGCCGGCCUGAGAGGGCGACCGGCCACACUGGGACUGAGACACGGCCCAGACUCCUACGGGAGGCAGCAGUGGGGAAUCUUGCGCAAUGGGCGAAAGCCUGACGCAGCGACGCCGCGUGGGGAUGACGG